rnacentral:rRNA from 1 species
AUUGAACGCUGGCGGCAGGCCUAACACAUGCAAGUCGAACGAGUGGCGGACGGGAGAGCAAUGUCUGGGAAACUGCCUGAUGGAGGGGGAUCACUACUGGAAACGGUAGCUAAUACCGCAUACCAUCGGAUGUGCCCAGGUAGGAUUAGCUAGUGGGAGGGGUAAAGGCUGACCAAGGCGACGAUCCGUAACUGGUCUGAGAGGAUGACCAGCCCCACUGGAACUGAGACACGGUCCAGACUCCUACGGGAGGCAGCAGGGGGGAAUAUUGGACAAUGGGCGCAAGCCUGAUCCAGCCAUGCCGCGUGUGUGAAGAAGGUCUUCGGGUUGUAAAGCACUUUCAGCGAGGAGGCGUUACUCGCAGAAGAAGCACCGGCUAACUCCGUGCCAGCAGCCGCGGUAAUUG